rnacentral:rRNA from 1 species
GAUGAACGCUGGCGGCGUGCCUAAUACAUGCAAGUCGAGCGAACAGACGAGGAGCUUGCUCCUCUGACGUUAGCGGCGGACGGGUGAGUAACACGUGGAUAACCUACCUAUAAGACUGGGAUAACUUCGGGAAACCGGAGCUAAUACCGGAUAAUAUAUUGAACCGCAUGGUUCAAUAGUGAAAGACGGUUUUGCUGUCACUUAUAGAUGGAUCCGCGCCGCAUUAGCUAGUUGGUAAGGUAACGGCUUACCAAGGCGACGAUGCGUAGCCGACCUGAGAGGGUGAUCGGCCACACUGGAACUGAGACACGGUCCAGACUCCUACGGGAGGCAGCAGUAGGGAAUCUUCCGCAAUGGGCGAAAGCCUGACGGAGCAACGCCGCGUGAGUGAUGAAGGUCUUCGGAUCGUAAAACCCUGUUAUUAGGGAAGAACAAAUGUGUAAGUAACUAUGCACGUCUUGACGGUACCUAAUCAGAAAGCCACGGCUAACUACGUG